GGAGCUACCAUCUAUUGUUUUCCCCAAAUCCACUGCAGUUUUUUGAUCCCUACUUCUGAAGGUUCGCAUUACUCUUCUAAUGUAGGGAUGCUGAUAAUGUGCCUGUUGUCUCCCCUCUUUUCAUCUCAUGUAAAUAGGUUAGCCUAUUUUGUCAUAUUUAUUUUCACUUAGGUUCAUAAAAUUUCUUUGCUGUUGCCUAUCAAAAGAAGGGAAUAAAAAGGAGGAAGAAGACAUGAGCAAGAUCUUAUAGCAUCUUAGCAUGCGACAAAUUGUCUCUAGUCCCGUUGAUGGACAAUGACUUGGAGACCAUAGGAGUAUAUUUUAAAGAUACAAUUCAGUUGCCUUGUGUCCAAUAUGGUAAAUUUAAUGUCUUUUGCGAUGGAACUUCAUAUUAACAACAAAGCUGAGAAUAAUUUUCCUAUUGAAGAGUAUACUUCGGAGAUGAUUUGAUCUUGUCAUGUAUUGAAAUGAUAAGUGUCUGUCAGAAGCUAUGGAUUUUUUUUUUUUAAAAAGAUCUGUAAAAUUUUGGCCUUCUGAUAUGCCAUGUUGCUCUAAGACUCUGUAAGGAUGGAAUUUUCUUCCUCCAAUGGAUCAUGUGAGCGGAACUUUAUGAACUAUAGGUUGUCAUCUCUUGUCUAUUUCUUCAAUUGCUGAUGUGUUUAAGGCUAUCUUUUCUGCCUUUCUCUGGAUAUCUUAUUGAAGAUUGGCAUAGCAGGGUUUUGAUGCUUGGAGUGAGGACCUUUGUGUGGAAGGAGAUGAACCAACUAUUUUUUUUUUUUCAAGGCAAAGGUGUGGCAUUUUGUAAUGUUGCUACCAAUGCACCUUUGAUCAUGUUCAUCAACAGCCCAUUGUUACAUUACACUGCUCUCCACUACUAUGGUGUUUUUUCUACAGCCGAUGACCAACAGUGCACACCACACUGUUCCCAUCCCAAAGGCUAAAUGUUGAAUGGUGUGCUGGAGCCCACUACCGACUUCAGAAAACUAAAUUUCAGUGGUUCAUCUCAGAGUAACCCACACCGGACAAGGUGGUUGGAGGCUUUCCGAAGAUGAGGAAUGUUUGCUUACUUAUAAUUUACACUCCUGAUUUAGUGAAAAAAAUAUUCUAUACACUUCUGUUAUACUAGCAGUGGGAUCAAAGAGACUUGAGCUUGACAGUUUCAACUGUGGGCGCUUAAACUGGCAAUAUCCUCACAUUCAACAAGAGGAAGAUACUCUCAUUAUUGAUAUACUACUAGACCAAUCUAGCAUUCUUCCAGAUAGAUCAUAGACACAAAGGUUGAUGAUAUAUGAUCAAGUCAAAGAAGUGUUCUGUGGAUGGCUGGGAACUUUCAAGACUCUGACAUAUGUACCGUCCAUGUACUGUAAAUACCCCACUUAAGGAUGAUACUCAGGGCACAUCCUUAGAAGUGUGCCUUGUAGCAGCAAGUCUGGUUUUCGACCAAAACAAGAAUUUUUAUAAAAUUGGGAACCUAUUUUGGUCAUUAAUUCUUGGAAGGGAACUUUUUGAUUGAGUUUUUCUGUUUAUUUGGAAGGAAACAUUACUUCCGUGCAACCAUGGAAGGCUUUAGAAGGCUAAGUGGAAGUUCAAUGCCAUCCAGAUUGGAUCUUUCUAGGUUUCCCGUUCAGAUAUAGAUUGCUGUUUCCUUUGAAUUUCUUGCAUCAUUGGUUGCUGCUUAUGCAUACAGUUCAGUUUUAUUUCUUGUUGAGGCUAACAGCUAAUAUUGUUGUCAGCUAUAUGUUGAAUGGCAUCAUUGCUUCUGGUUGGCAUUGUCAUAUUUGCUGUCUGGGUUUCCUUUUGCUACUUGUAAUUUUGGGCCUAUGCUGUAAAUCCUUGAGAAUUUAUACUAGUAACUAACAAUCAAUACGCAGCAUGAAAACCAUAUCUUCGGUAUUCUUGUUUUGGUGUUUCCUUGUUCAUGUUUUUAUAUGCUCUUCUUGCUAUUUAAACAUUGAAAAAAUUACUGAUGUUUUACCAAAAAUAAAUAAAUAAAAUAAAAUAAAAUAAAAAAAGUUAAUAAUGUUCUUAUAGUAUGAUUGUUAAGACAUUAUUAAGCUGUUGGCAAAGAGAAGUGGGUUGGGUAGGGAAGAUAACAAGAAUUUGAGAGUGGGCAAGUUUGAAGCUCAUCAGAUAAUUUAAGCUUUUCCAUUUCUGAGAUUAAAAAAAAAAAGCAGCAGGAAUUGAUUAUGCAGUUGCAUCUCUAUGGGAUUUUGAUUCUGAACCCUUUCCUUUUGUUGGCCAAAACAAACUCAUUCAAGAAUGCACUGGGAUAACUUGGCAAGGCAUAAAUCUGCUCACAGAAGCAUGGAAAUAGCAGAUCUCAUGGUUUACUGGUACUUACCUUGAAUCUAGACCCUCUUUGGUUCCAUCAGACAAAUUGCUUAAUGAUGUUUGAACGCCAAGUCUUCAGUAGUUCAUCUGGCCUCGACUUAAAUAAAUUCUCUAUCUUUUGCCUUAAAUUUUAUUUGUAUCGGUAGGCCAUCAGGGUCAAAUCACUACUAAAUGUCAGUACUUGAUUUCAUUUAUUUCCAUUCUUAGUUAAUUACUACUUACAAUUAUUAUCUUUUCCUCCUGGUAGCAUCUCUAUGAUCUUCCCAGUCUGAACCAUAGCUGUUGCAUAUUAUAAAAGUUGUUGCUGACUGACAUAUAGUCACUCUUUUACCUGUAUGGAGGCCAUAGUUAUCAAGGCAUCGCCUAGGAUUUUUCUUGGGUCCCAGGAGACGGCACAUCUUGUUGACACUUCACGAGUUUACGUUGAAUUUUUUUUUUUCCGAGUAUGCUUAUAUUAUAUCCUAUGCUUUGUCUGUUAUAUGUUAGUUUUCUCAUAAUAAUGUCAUUAGCAGAUUAAUUAUAUCAUAUUGCAGCUUUGAUGUUGCAUAUAACCAUAUGAUUAUAUUAUAAUUCAUUGCUAUUUGGCGUAUAGUUGUAUAUUACAUGCCUAGAGUGCCUAAGCGGGCACUUUGGUGCCCCUCUAAUGCCUUUGGGUUCACCUAGUUGCCUUGACAACUAUGAUGGAGGCCCAAUUAAAAUGAAAGAUUCCAAUGUGUAAACAGAAAGUCUUACGUCAUUCUUUCAUCACCAGAUUCCUUUGGAACUGUUGAUCAUAUUUUUUGUAGUGCAAGUAAGCUCCCACUAAUUGUUACAAUGCCAUUGCUAUUCAGCACAGUUGUGCAUCGUGCGGGAGGACUUCCUGAGGUGGAAGACUCUUUUUGUGAUCAUUAGGAGGCUUCUAAAGCUGGAAGAAAUUCUUAGAUUGUGAUUGACAUUUAGUGCAGAUGUAAUAUAGAAAAUGCACAAUUGGUGACCCCUGAUGAUUCUUGGAAAGUGGUGUUUCUGGUUGUUGCAUCAGAUGGUUGUUGUGAAGCAGACCAUUCUCAAAGCUUCUUACCUUCCUGCCAGUGGAAUGUGUUUGUUUUCAAGUUGCAGAAAGGCUAUGACCUUUUAACUUGGAACUUGAUUGUUUGCGAGUUCCUCUCUUCCAGCAUGAUUUGUAUGAUAAUGUUAGUAGAUUAGUGUUGGUUAGCAACUGUUGGUUUGGUUUGUGUAGCAAAUGUACAUCCCUGACUAUUGCUAUUCAUCUUUGCAUCACUGACACUAGUUAGAUUUCAUUGGUGGCUGCAGUUGUUACUUGUUUGCAUUCAACUGAGAAAGGGUUAGAUUUAACUUAUUUAGGAUUGGGUCUUCAUAUGCUAUAGGUGUGCUAAGUUGGCAAUUUAGUGUUUGAUGGCAGUGUCUGUAUAUGAUGGUAAUGUUUGUAAUGCUAAUCAAUGGAGUAAUUGCUUCAUACUAAA